CGCAAAUCAAAUAGCCCUUGUGGUAAUAUGGAGCUCUGAACAUUUGAUCCUGCAAGAUAACCCGGAGGCAGGAACGUACUGUUAUUCGAGGAAGGCAGCACGUACUGUGAUUCGCUUUCCACAUCACUGAACCCUAGUUGUUUUCGUUCGUAACCAUUCUGAUAUUCAGGUAGUGGGAGGAUGGCAAUGGCUUCGGGCACCACCAGUUCAUGUUUGCACGAUGCCACUGGAAUCAGAGAUCCCAGGAGUUCGUUAAGCUGCAAAACGAAGGUUUUUAAUAGCUUGAAACCCCUACCUGCUGGUAUUUUCUGCCCGAAAAAAUUGAAUAUCAACGCUGAUUUUCACCACAGGGUUCAUCAGAUGAUAUCGUUAAGGUAAUGUGGUCAGAAGCC